UCUCUUCCAGCAGGUCAUUCCAGUCUGGGGGCAGCAGAUGAAAAGGUCUUCUAGGAAACCGUUGUCAGUCUUGGCCAAUUGAAGCAAACAUUUCCCAGAAGACCUGAAUGUACACUGUACGGGAGAAGGCAAUCCAUAAAGCCACCCAUGGCUUGAAAAUAUUUAAAUAUAUAGAUAAAUUUCCAAAAGCAAACCUAUAUUUUGCCAUUGUAUUUGAGGGACACCAUUUUAUUAUGCCCUUGUAUUAAAUGGGACUUGCGCAUCCACAGAUUUUGUUAUCCAAGAGGGAUCCUGAAACCAAACCCCAAGCCCACUGUACAAGACUGCCCCUGAAACCUAUGUCUCUAAAGUUCCCUGAUGCGGCAUUUUGUCUGAACUCCCACGCUUAUGAAAGCUUAUCAUUCAAAUAGGAACACUGGCUAUAGUUGCAAUUAAACUUUAAUAUGUUUAAAAAGUGGGCUAAGAGGAGUAAAAAAAAAUAAAUCAAAUUCCUAUGCCUGCACCAAAAUAUUAGCUUUCUAUGGUGAAUGCAAAAUAAAAACACAAGAGACAUCUUUCAAGUAGAUGUUUUGUGCAGCUGCUCUGGAAAAUGGAAUGAUCUUAAAGGUUAGUUGCCAUAGCUCAUUGCUUUAAACAAACCCCACUGUGUGUUUGUGGUAUGUGGAUUAUGUGCUUCAUCUGGUGAUACGCCACUGCACACAUUUGGUAGAUUACUUUAUGGCAUUUGGAGGGAAGGGGAACAACUCCAGAAACUCUCCAGCCCUAAUCUCUGACUUGAUCCACUGCCUUGUCAUUUGACAGAGGGUCGGAACUCCUUUGGAAUUCCUCUCCAUCUGGAAUAGUUUUCUCCAUGUGGUGUUGUAACAUGGACUGCAGCCAAUAUCUCUUGCUGUAUUCUCCCUAUCUCUAUCCCCUAUGGUGGUGUUAAUGUCUUCCUGUGGGCACAUAUGUUUUGGCAGCAGCUGAAUUAAAUGCUGGGGGAAAUGUACAUUUACACAGAACUUUGAGAAGUGCAUUGGGCUUUUUGUUUCAUGGAAUGCACAGCAUAAUUACAAGAGAGAAGGAAGGGGGUAGCCAUUGGAGUGAGAUUACAUCAUUAGGGAUAAACUAUUAAUCCUUAAACUUCUUAUCUCAUAACUAUCUUUUCUAGGCAUUUUCUUCCAAACCCCCUUCAGGAAAAAAAAAUGGCUUUCUAACUCAGAAGGCAAAUAUCGGGUAUAUUGGCGUGGCAGAGAAACUGAUCUGUGAAUUAAAUAUUUUAUUGUGUUUACAAAAUUCCACAAUGUUUCCUCCCCAGCAUUUGUAUCACAUGGGAAAUGAUGGGCAAUUUUGUUCUAUUGAAAACACUACAUGCAACGUCUUGUGUUUUUAAAAUGGUAAGAUUCUGCUUCACAAACUUAAUCAAAUGUUGUUAAAAAUGUAAUUUUUAAAAAAUGGUUAAAUGGUUCAUGCAAUGUAAUAUGAGCUAUAGUUUAGUGUGGAGCACCGUUUUCUGAACAGGGCUGACAAGAAAUGAAAAUGAAGCUAGCCCUGCCAUUACAGAGUAAAGUGACUACCUUAGGCAGCAGUUAUUGAAGACUGGGGAGUGGAAGUGAGUUGUCAGAUGACAGAAUUUUGUGUGCCCCUUUGCAUGCCUUAUGACUUCUAAGGUAACCUGGUUUCCUCAGUUGGAGUGGAGAUAUUGUCCCAUAACCAGGGUCCAAGUGAGAUUCAACUGCCAGCCCAGUUGGCUUGUGUGCCGGGCACCAGAGGAGCACCAUUGUACCUUUGUCUCAAAAUGUCUUGUCCAGCCCAUCUAGAAAUGUUGAAAUAGAAAUAAGAACGUCAAGCCAUAUGCCUGUGAAACCUCAUGAGUUCUUGGUUUGGGGAGAGGCAAACAUGGGACAGGCAACCCAUUCUGAUGUCUCAGGCUGCGACUGUGGUCUUCAUAGUGAUCAAUGGUGGCAGUGGCAAGUAAGGGUGUGUGGUCACUGUCUAGUCUGCUGGGUGUUGUGACAGAGUUUCUGAGAAACUCCUUGGCAAACAGCUGGCUUUUUUUUUAAACCAGGACAAGGGCCAGCUGGGCUAGGGUUGGGCCAGAGGCAUUGGAGCAGUGUCUGGUCUACUUGAUCCUGCCCAGGUCAGAGGGAAAGAGAGCCUUUUGGCCCAUUCAUACAGCCCCUAGGAGGGAACAAAAGGAUACAUUCUAUAUAGAAUAAUUUCUGAAUUGCAUUUGCUUCUAUUUUGUAUUUUUGAUUUAGAGCAUUAAGAUUGCACCCAAAUGUUGCUCUAAUGCCGAGCAGCUCAGGAAGAAGAGUCCUGUAAUCAUUUCCUGCUCUGGCACCUCACUGGAUGCAUGGGACUUUGGGGUCACUGCAUGUGUGCCAAAUUGGAUACAUAAGAUUUUAGAGUGCAAUGGUGUUUUCAAUAUUCAGUUGUUGUUGUCCUCAUACAUCCCAGAAAAGGAUAUACCUGCACUAUGAGAAUGAAGGAUGAAAAUGUCAGCCUAAUUUAGUCCUUUCAUUCACAUAUUUAGCAAAGCAGCCUAUAAUUGCAUUGGGUGGUCUUUUUUUCUCAUCCCUCCUCCACCUUUUCAUUAACACACCAUGCUUCUGACUCAAGGUUAGGCAUCCUGAUGUCUGCCCAAGAGAAAGAAACAGAGAAGUUGUGUAAGCCUCAGAGUUGCCCUUCUUGUAAUGCCAGACAAUGUUUAUUUAAUACACAAAAUUAUCAGCCGCCUUGGCUCCCAGCCUGGGAGAAAGGCAACAUAUAAAUGAAUAAAUAAAAUAAAAUAAAAUAAAUGUGUAUAAAAUUAGCUUCAGGCUAUGUGGAGAAAGUGUAUAUGGACAUACAUGAAUAUCAUGAUAAGACUUGAGCCCUAUGUCCAAGAUUUAUCAUUAUAUUUAGGAAAACAUUUCAAAAUCUGAAUGAGUCCGUAAUCCAAAACACUUCUAGUCCCAAGCAUUUCAGAUAAGGGAGACCCAACAUGUCCAAAUCAUAAUCAAGAUCAUAAGCUCAUUGAUAUGCUGCCUUUCUUGUGAAGUGGGAGACAGCAUUUCCAGUUUCUGAUGCAAAGAAUUAUUUCAUUUUUAUUCCAAGGGGGACCCAAGGCAGCUCCCCAAAAGAAUCAGCUAAAAACUACGAAAUUUUAAAAUGUCAUUGAAACCAUCCCAUUGAAAGCAAUGUAACCCAUCUAUUUGGACCUGGUGGGGAAGUGGUCAGAUGGGUCAAAAUAUAAUGGGAUGUGUUUGUUUGUUUUGUUUCCUUGGAGAUCAGGGAGAAUCUUGGCCAACGGAUCCUUGGAAGUUGGAUUAGUUGAGGUCUAGAGGAGGUUGAAGGUGGAGAGACCUCAACUGACCAGAGGCAUAAUAUUCAUUUGGUUCUGGUCUCAUUGAUCGUUUGAAGCGCUCUCUUGGCUUCUCUGGCUGUUUCCUCUUCAUACCCAAAGACAUCCAGGCCACAGCUGGAGACAAAGAGAACUGCGCUGUCCAUGUUGCAGCUGAGAGUGAGCCCAUCGUAAUAUCAGAUCGGGAGGAGGAGGAGGAAGAAAAAAAGGGAGAACCCAUUGUGAUAUCAGAGGGAGGAGAGGAGGAGGAACCCAUCAUUAUUUCGGAGGAAGAAGAGGAGGAGGAAGAUCCCAUCGAGAUAUCUGAUGAAGAUGAGGAGGAGGAAGAUCCCAUCGAAAUCUCUGAUGAAGACGAGGAGGAGGAAGAUGCAAUUGAGAUCUCUGAUGAAGAGGAGGAAGAAGUAGAGGAGGAUGACCUCAUUGUGAUUUUGGUUAAAGAGGAGGAGGAAGAAGAUUUGGAAGAUUUGGAGGUGGAUACCUUCAAAAUAGCCAACAAUCAGCCGAUGCCCUCCGUUUGCCCCCAGAAGUCCAGGGCACCAGCGCCAGAACAAUGUCAGGGAUGAUGGGAGUUGUGGCUCUUCACCUGGCCUGGAACUCACCACCUGGUUGUGCACCACGCUGACCAGUUUUGGCCAGUUGUUGUAUCUUUGCAAGAGUUGCAGAG